AUUGAACGCUGGCGGCAGGCCUAACACAUGCAAGUCGGACGGUAGCACAGAGGAGCUUGCUCCUUGGGUGACGAGUGGCGGACGGGUGAGUAAUGUCUGGGGAUCUGCCCGAUAGAGGGGGAUAACCACUGGAAACGGUGGCUAAUACCGCAUAACGUCGCAAGACCAAAGAGGGGGACCUUAGGGCCUCCCACUAUCGGAUGAACCCAGAUGGGAUUAGCUAGUAGGCGGGGUAAUGGCCCCCCUAGGGGACGAUCCCUAGCUGGCCUGAGAGGAUGACCAGGCACCCUGGAACUGAGACACGGUCCAGACUCCUACGGGAGGCAGCAGUGGGGAAUAUUGCACAAUGGGCGCAAGCCUGAUGCAGCCAUGCCGCGUGUAUGAAGAAGGCCUUCGGGUUGUAAAGUACUUUCAGCGGGGAGGAAGGCGGUGAGGUUAAUAACCUUGCCGAUUGACGUUACCCGCAGAAGAAGCACCGGCUAACUCCGUGCCAGCCGCCGCAGUAA
rnacentral:rRNA from 1 species